AUUGAACGCUGGCGGCAUGCUUUACACAUGCAAGUCGAACGGUAACAGGCCGCAAGGUGCUGACGAGUGGCGAACGGGUGAGUAAUGCAUCGGAACGUGCCCAGUCGUGGGGGAUAACGCAGCGAAAGCUGUGCUAAUACCGCAUACGAUCUAUGGAUGAAAGCGGGGGACCGAAAGGCCUCGCGCGAUUGGAGCGGCCGAUGUCAGAUUAGGUAGUUGGUGGGGUAAAGGCCUACCAAGCCAACGAUCUGUAGCUGGUCUGAGAGGACGACCAGCCACACUGGGACUGAGACACGGCCCAGACUCCUACGGGAGGCAGCAGUGGGGAAUUUUGGACAAUGGGCGCAAGCCUGAUCCAGCAAUGCCGCGUGCAGGAAGAAGGCCUUCGGGUUGUAAACUGCUUUUGUACGGAACGAAACGGUCUGGAUUAAUACCCGGGACUAAUGACGGUACCGUAAGAAUAAGCACCGGCGAACUACGU
rnacentral:rRNA from 1 species